UACGUAGGGCGCAAGCGUUAUCCGGAAUCACUGGGCGUAAAGCGCACGUAGGCGGCUUUCUAAGUCAGAGGUGAAAUCCUGGAGCUCAACUCCAGAACUGCCUUUGAUACUGGGGAGCUUGAGUCCGGAAGAGGUUAGUGGAACUGCGAGUGUAGAGGUGAAAUUCGUAGAUAUUCGCAAGAACACCAGUGGCGAAGGCGGCUAACUGGUCCGGUACUGACGCUGAGGUGCGCAAGCGUGGGGAGCAAACAGG
rnacentral:rRNA from 1 species